rnacentral:rRNA from 1 species
AGCGAACGCUGGCGGUAGGCCUAACACAUGCAAGUCGAACGGCAGCACAGUAAGAGCUUGCUCUUACGGGUGGCGAGUGGCGGACGGGCGAGGAAUACAUCGGAAUCUACUUUUUCGUGGGGGAUAACGUAGGGAAACUUACGCUAAUACCGCAUACGACCUACGGGUGAAAGCAGGGGAUCUUCGGACCUUGCGCGAUUGAAUGAGCCGAUGUCGGAUUAGCUAGUUGGCGGGGUAAAGGCCCACCAAGGCGACGACCCGUAGCUGGUCGCAGAGGAUGAUCGGCGACAUUGGAACGUAGAAACGGUCAGGACUCCUACGGGAGGCAGCAGUGGGGAAUAUUGGACAAUGGGCGCAGGCAUGAUCCAGCCAUACCGCGUGGGUGAAGAAGUACUUCGGGUUGUAAAGCCCGUUUGUUGGGAAAGAAGAGCAGCAGGUUAAUACCCCGCUGUUCUGACGGUACCCAAAGAAUAAGCACCGGCUAACUUCGUG